GACGAACGCUGGCGGCGUGCUUAACACAUGCAAGUCGAACGGAAAGGCCCUGCUUUUGUGGGGUGCUCGAGUGGCGAACGGGUGAGUAACACGUGAGUAACCUGCCCUUGACUUUGGGAUAACUUCAGGAAACUGGGGCUAAUACCGGAUAGGAGCUCCUGCUGCAUGGUGGGGGUUGGAAAGUUUCGGCGGUUGGGGAUGGACUCGCGGCUUAUCAGCUUGUUGGUGGGGUAGUGGCUUACCAAGGCUUUGACGGGUAGCCGGCCUGAGAGGGUGACCGGCCACAUUGGGACUGAGGUACGGCCCAGACUCCUACGGGAGGCAGCAGUGGGGAAUAUUGCACAAUGGGCGGAAGCCUGAUGCAGCAACGCCGCGUGCGGGAUGACGGCCUUCGGGUUGUAAACCGCUUUCGCCUGUGACGAAGCGUGAGCGACGGUAAUGGGUAAAGAAGCACCGGCUAACUACGUG
rnacentral:rRNA from 1 species